ensembl:lncRNA
CUCUCCAAAGACAGCCAUGCCAGGCUCCUGUAUGCAAGCACAAUACAGCAUUAGUAAUAGCGUCAGGAUUUGGUUGUGUGCAUGGUUAGAUCCCAAGUUGUGCUAGUCACUGGCCUUUCUUUCAGUCCCAGCUCUAUUUUGUCCCUACUUUUCCUUUAGACAGGAACAAAUCUAGGUUAAUAUUUUUGAAAAUUGGUAGGUGUCCCCCUACCUAAGUUGGGGGCCAUGUCUAUCUACUGGAGGUGGUCUCUUCCAGUUCCACCUCUGCACUGCUGAUGAUUUUGGUUAAUGUCAUCCCCGUUGAGUCCUGGUAGUCUUUCAUAAUCCAGGUCUCUGAGACUUUAUAGAUGUUUUCCUGAACUUUAACCCCCACUGCUGCAUAUUUCUAUUCAUUUUCCUGGCCUUCUGCGUGUCCCUUCUGUCUCUCCCCAUACCCGAUCCUGUCCUUCCUUUUCACCCCCCCUUCCCUGUCUCACCCAGUUUCCUCCAUCCCUCUGCCUCCCAUGAUUAUUUUGUUCCACUUCUAUGUGGGUUUCAGGUAUCCACACUUGGACUUUCCUUCUUGUUUUUGCUUCCUAGGGUCUGUGAAUUGUAUCAUGGGUAUUCUGAACCUUCUGGCUAAUAUAGCAUGAAGGAAAGAUCCUAUUGUGAAGACACUACUGCUUUCGACACAGGACUUGGAGGACUCAAACUGAAAUUGAUCUGGAAGUCUUCUCCUUGAAGAUGAACCUCCUGGUAUUGAAAGGAGGUGUUUGUAGCUCUCAGCCCUCAUCGAAGGAGAAUCUUUUUGUAGCAGAUGGAGACUAUUGUUGAAGUUUACAAUUCACCGAACUGUAGAGAAUAAAUGACUGGGAGGGAAAGUCCAUCAUGGUGAAGGAGGCAUGGCAGCAGUAUUUAACCUUGGGUGGAAAGAAGAGAGAGCAAGCAAUCUGGAAGUGAGACAAGGCUAUAAACUAUCAAAGACUAUAUUCACUGUUGUCCUUUACAAGGAUCUGUGUGCCAAAGACACCAAACUGCCCGAACAGCAUCUUCACCUGGGAGCCACGUGUUCAAAUACCUGAGCCUCUGUGGACAAUUAUUACAGCAUCACUGAAGGAGACAACAUAGGAACUAGAGAAACACUUGUUACUAGACAGCACAUGGCACUAUAAAUUUGCUACUCUUGUUCUGUAUCUCAAACAAAGAUUCCACACUUCUGGAUCCAUCACAUGACAAUGUCUGACUCCGUGGUUACUAUUCCUCUCUAUGUGCUUAAAACUUCAGUGUCCAGUGGAAGCAAGCAGAGAAUGCUGAGUCUUUGUGACAUUAUGCCCACCAGUGACAAGAAUGCAGCUUCUACAAAUGCUUCUAUAGAUGUUCCAAGUUUUUGCUUAGGCUCUUACCUUUGUAGUAAGAUAAUAAAGCAACACAAAACAAGUCAAGCACAAAAGAAAAUGCUUUAAAGUUAUACAAUGUAAUUUAAUUUAUUUUAUUUGUUUAUAUGGCAAAUGUUAUCCCCCUUCCAGGGUUCCCCUCCACAAACCCCCUAAUGCAUCCUGCCCUCCCAUCUGUUUCUUUGAGGGUGCUCUCCCACCACCACCCACCCUCUCCUACCUUAUUUCCUUGGCAUUCUCUUAUAAUGGGGUAUCAAGCCUUCACAGUACCAAGGGCCUCUCCUCCCAUUGAUGCCAGAUAAGGGCUUUGUCUGCUACAUAUGCAGAUGAGGAAGCUAUAUCAGGCUCCUGUCAGCAAAUACUUAUUGGCAUCAACAAUGCUCUGGGAGUUACAUUGUGGGUAUUCCAAGCUUUUUACCUAAUAUCCACUUAUCAGUGAGUACAUACCAUGUAUGUUCUUUUGUGACUGGGUUACUUUGCUCAGGAUGAUUUUUUUCUAGUUCUAUUCAUGUACCUGCAAAUUAAAUGAAAUCCUUGUUUUAAACAGUUGGGUAGUAUUCUAUUGUGUAAAUGUACCACAGUGUUUGUAUCCAUUUUUCUGUUGAGGAAUAUCUGCUUUUUCCAGCUUCUGAUUAUUAUAAAUAAG